rnacentral:rRNA from 1 species
CAGCAGCCACGGGAAAACGAAGGGCGCAAGUGUUAAUCGGAAUUACUGGGCGUAAAGCGUACGCAGGCGGUUUGUUAAGUCAGAUGUGAAAUCCCCGGGCUUAACCCGGGAACUGCAUUUGAAACUGGCAGGCUAGAGUCUCGUAGAGGGGGGUAGAAUUCCAGGUGUAGCGGUGAAAUGCGUAGAGAUCUGGAGGAAUACCGGUGGCGAAGGCGGCCCCCUGGACGAAGACUGACGCUCAGGUACGAAAGCGUGAGGAGCAAACAGGAUUAGAGACCCGUGUAGUCCCUGUCUCUUAUAC